GCUUAGCCUUAAACCUCAAUAGUUAAACAACAAAACUACUCGCCAGAAUACUACAAGCAACAGCUUGAAACUCAAAGGACUUGGCGGUGCUUUACACCCCCCUAGAGGAGCCUGUUCUAUAAUCGAUAAACCCCGAUCCACCCCACCCUCCCUUGCUCAGCCUAUAUACCGCCAUCUUCAGCAAACCCUGAUAAAGGUUGUAAAGUGUGCGAAAACGCCUUCCCCGCAAAAACGUUAGGUCAAGGUGUAGCCUAUGGGACGGUAAAAAAUGGGCUACAUUUUCUACCCCAGAAAACCCCACGAUAACUCUUAUGAAACCUAAGAGUCCAAGGAGGAUUUAGCAGUAAAUUAAGAAUAGAGUGCUUAAUUGAACCAGGCCAUGAAGCACGC
rnacentral:rRNA from 1 species